AAUAUUCCUUCAGAUCCUCUUGCCAAGGUAGAUGAUUAAAGUGGUCAUGGGAAACUCUCUCAAUAUUUAAAAAAUUGAUGACACUUCCCCAAAUCAUCUAAAUGAUUGAGCCACCCCCAAAUUCCCAGAUUCAGCCCUUUAUUUUUCCCAGGGACUGCUAAUAGCCUCAACUUGCCAGUCUCUCUGAAGAUCUUUCCUGCAAGAAUGGAAGCAGGUAAAGCAGGCUUUUGGAGGUUUGGGCCAGUGGACCCCAAGGCAGGGCCAUCUCUGAGGGCCACCCUACAUGCACAGCUGUGGAUGCCAUUGAGCCCAUGGCCAGACCUCUUGAAAGAACAAAAACAUUUGAAGCUCAGAACAUUCUCUCCCAUCCACAGAAGCCAUCCCAUAGAUCUGAAACAUGUAACUAACUGAUCGUGAAUCACGAGGAACAGGUUUGGCGGGCAGUCUUCCCACCCACCUGCCAUUAACCUGUGUGGCAGAUGUCGGGAGGUGAGAACACUGGGCUCUGAGUCCCAGGAAUGCCUCUCUCCAGGACUGGACGACAGCAAGGUGAAAAGAGAGAUUUAGGCAAUGCAAGCUCUCUCUUUCUCUCUUUUCUUUCUUCCUUGGAUUUUUCUCUAUCUUGAGUAAAAUUCAGUUUUUAGAAGAUCAAGCCAGGUUGUAAACACAGUCUUUAAAAACCUUUGCACUGCUUUUACUGCAGAAUUUAUGAUUUGUUUACAUUUGAGGCGAGGAGCGGGUGCGCAGGGGUAAUCCCGAGGCCUCCAGGAGACUGCUCAAAAGAAAAAAGGGAAUGUGGGACACACGAAUAAAAAUACUUCUUUGUUCCAGCCUUGAUUUGUAGGUGCAGAAUUCCCCCAGAGAGAGAGGUCAUGCCCUAAGGAAAUUGGCCCAACCAGCCCUUUGUCACCAUGAGAAUCAGCCCCUGAGAUUGCAAGAGAAACUUCCAGAAAUCCACAGAUUUCAGCAUUCGGAAAGCGCAUGUGAUGAAAGCUAAGACAGGUGCCUCAGGUGUGUCUUGUGGGAACUACAGGACUAUGGCCAGCUGGGCCUGGGAUCCUCCCUGAGUGGGAACACAGUGCAGUGGCUGCCAGGACCCCGGACUGGGCACAUCGGACACCCGAAAUGAGAACCUUCCAAGCAGAAACCCAGGCAAUGAGCGAGCCUCUUGGAAACCACACGCUGGGCCUCACCAGCAAUAUGGGGACACAGGCACCUGCCUCUCCAAGCUACAGUAACAACAAGGGAAACGUACAGCAAGCAAAAUAUCCAGAAGGACCCAGAGCCUUUGCCAAACUCGCAGUUCACAGAAGCACUGUAGAGUCUGUAUUCCAGCUCUGAUUUGAUGGCGUACAUUUCAGGGAACACAUUUUCGCUUGCACAGAAAGUCUGCUCAGAAGUCACAUGCAUCCUGUGGAGUAAGACUGUGCAUGUGUGUGUGCUCAGUCAUUUCUGUCAUGUCCGACUGUUUGCUACCCGAUGGACUGUAGCCCACCAGGUUCCUCUGUCCAUGGGAUUCUCCAGGCAAGAGUACUGGAGUGGGUUGCCAUGCCCUCCUCCAGGGGAUCUUCCUGACCCAGGGAUCAAACCCACAUCUGCUGCAUCUCCUGCAUUGACAGCUGGGUUCUUUACCACUAGCACUACCUGGGAAGCUCAAGUAAGUCUCUACUCGCACUUAAAGGAUCUGGCAUUUGUGCUGAGUUUAGGGGAAAAGAUUUAUUUAUCAAGAUUUCUGAAAACAUGUUGAAAUUCUUCUGUGUUGACCCAGGACAGCAUCUUGGUAGUUUAUGUAAUAUUUCCUGCAUGUUUCAGUCAUUAAUGUGCAAAUUUCUAUUUCAAGUUGUAAACCCUCUUUUGAACUUCAUGCUAUGCCUGGGACCCCCUAUCACCUCAUCUAGACCCUCUUCCAUGCUAUAAGGGCUCCUGUGGUUAUUGUUCCUUGCUGACUCCCUGGGAGGGGACAUUUUCAGGCAUCCCAUCUGAAAAUGAACUUCAUAAAAUUCCCCACAACUCAUCACCCUACUGACUGUAUUUAGCAUGAAGGAAAUACUGUAUUUAACAUAGGUAUGUGUUAAUGUCAACACUAUGUUUAUCUAUUUCUUUGUUGUCCCAAUGAUCAUGAGUGUCCAAAUGGCAAUGAUCUUGUCAGAUUCACUUAAACUGAAAAACAGGGGAAAGCAGUGAAUAUUGGUGCUAAUGGGGUUUUCACUGUUCCUUCUGCCUUGCUCUAUCCUUGCUGCUUCUCAGACUUCUAGUGCCUAGGGCACUGCCAAUCUCAGGUCAUCAGCUUCCUCUCCCCAUCUCCCCAGUUCAAAAUACAUCUGUCCUUUGCCCUUAAAACUCUGCUCUCAGGACUUCCCUGGCGGUCCAGUGGUUAAGAAUCUGCCUUGCAAUGCAGGGGAUGCUGAUUCGAUCCCUGACUGAGGAACUAAGAUCCCACAUGCUGUGGGGCAGCUAAGCUCCUGUGCCAUAACUACUGUGCCCACUGACGACAAUAUAAGAUCCCACAUGAUGUAACUAAGAGUUGAUGCUGCCAAAU